rnacentral:rRNA from 1 species
GAUGAACGCUGGCGGCGUGCCUAAUACAUGCAAGUCGAGCGAACAGACGAGGAGCUUGCUCCUCUGACGUUAGCGGCGGACGGGUGAGUAACACGUGGAUAACCUACCUAUAAGACUGGGAUAACUUCGGGAAACCGGAGCUAAUACCGGAUAAUAUAUUGAACCGCAUGGUUCAAUAGUGAAAGACGGUUUUGCUGUCACUUAUAGAUGGAUCCGGGCCGGAUUAGCUAGUUGGUAAGGUAACGGCUUACCAAGGCAACGAUGCGUAGCCGAUCUGAGAGGGUGAUCGGCCACACUGGAACUGAGACACGGUCCAGACUCCUACGGGAGGCAGCAGUAGGGAAUCUUCCGCAAUGGGCGAAAGCUUGACGGAGCAACGCCGCGUGAGUGAUGAAGGUCUUCGGAUCGUAAAACUCUGUUAUUAGGGAAGAACAAAUGUGUAAGUAACUAUGCACGUCUUGACGGUACCUAAUCAGAAAGCCACGGCUAACUACGUG